rnacentral:rRNA from 1 species
AGAGUUUGAUCCUGGCUCAGAAUGAACGUUGGCGGCGUGGAUUAGGCAUGCAAGUCGAGCGAGAACCCAGCAAUGGGGGACAGCGGCGAAAGGGACAGUAAUGUGUAGAUCAUCUGCCCUCAGGCCCGGGAUAGCUGCGGGAAACUGCAGGUAAUACCGGAUAAUAUCUCCGGAUCAAAGGUGUGAUUCCGCCUGGGGAUGAGUCUACAUCCUAUUAGCUUGUUGGUGGGGUAAUGGCCUACCAAGGCGAUGAUGGGUAGCGGGUGUGAGAGCACGACCCGCGUCAUUGGGACUGAGACACUGCCUAGACACCUACGGGUGGCUGCAGUCGAGAAUCUUCGGCAAUGGGCGCAAGCCUGACCGAGCGACGCCGCGUGCGGGAUGAAGGCCUUCGGGUUGUAAACCGCUGUCAGAGGGGAUGAAAUGCGGGUGGGUUCUCCCAUCUGUUUGACAUAGCCUCAGAGGAAGGACGGGCUAANNNNNNGNCAGCAGCCGCGGUAAUAC